UACAGAGGGUGCGAGCGUUAAUCGGAAUUACUGGGCGUAAAGCGUGCGUACACGGUUAUCUAAGUCGGAUGUGAAAGCCCCGGGCUCAACCUGGGAAUUGCAUUCGAGACUGAAUAGCUAGGGUACGGUAGAGGGAAGUGGAAUUUCCGGUGUAGCGGUGAAAUGCGUAGAUAUCGGAAGGAACAUCAGUGGCGAAAGCGACUUCCUGGACCAGUACCGACGUUCAGGCACGAAAGCGUGGGGAGCAAACAGG
rnacentral:rRNA from 1 species